UACGAGAGGUGCAAGCGUUAUUCGGAAUUAUUGGGCGUAAAGGGCGCGUAGGCGGGUCAUUAAGUUUGUUGUUAAAUCCUCUGGCUUAACCAGAGACAAGCAAUAAAAACUGGUAACCUAGAGCGUGAGAGAGAGAAGUGGAAUUCCCGGAGUAGCGGUAAAAUGCGUAGAUCUCGGGAGGAACACCAAUGGCGAAGGCUGCUUCUUGGCUCAUUGCUGACGCUGAGGCGCGAAAGCGUGGGGAGCAAACAGG
rnacentral:rRNA from 1 species